rnacentral:lncRNA from 1 species
AUUGGUUAAGAAAGGUAUUUUACCAAAUCUAAAAUUUAGUGAUUUUGAUAUGUGCAUCGAUUAUAUUAAAAAUAAAUAAAUUAAAAGAUAUAAAAAGCAUGCCAUUAGAAGUCAAGGACACUUAAAAUUGAUACGUAUCGAUAUUUAUGACUAUUUUAUAUUUUAUUUUGGAGGGCAAAAGUAUUUCAUCAACUUUAAUGAUUUUUCACGUUAUAUUUAUAUUUUUCUAUUGCAUAAAAAGUUUGAAGCUUUAGAAGCCUUUAAGGUAUACAAAGUUGAAGUAGAAAAUUAAUUGGACAGAAAAAUUAAAGUCAUG